rnacentral:rRNA from 1 species
GAUGAACGCUGGCGGCGUGCCUAAUACAUGCAAGUCGAGCGAACAGACGAGGAGCUUGCUCCUCUGACGUUAGCGGCGGACGGGUGAGUAACACGUGGAUAACCUACCUAUAAGACUGGGAUAACUUCGGGAAACCGGAGCUAAUACCGGAUAAUAUAUUGAACCGCAUGGUUCAAUAGUGAAAGACGGUUUUGCUGUCACUUAUAGAUGGAUCCGCGCCGCAUUAGCUAGUUGGUAAGGUAACGGCUUACCAAGGCAACGAUGCGUAGCCGACCUGAGAGGCGGAUCGGCCACCCUGGAGCUGAAACACGGUCCAGACUACUAAGGGAGGCAGCAGUAGGGAAUCUUCCGCAAUGGGCGAAAGCCUGACGGAGCAACGCGGAGUGAGUGAUGAAGGUCUUCGGAUCGUAAAACUCUGUUAUUAGGGAAGAACAAAUGUGUAAGUAACUAUGCACGUCUUGACGGUAACUAAUCAGAAAGCCACGGCUAACUACGUG